GAAAAAGGUUCCGGCCUCAGCCGGCAUACCUGGCGGAGGAGGAACCGCGCGACGCGCUCUCGGGCGCCGGUUUCAGCAAAGUUUGGAGGGUUUAGCUGCGCGGAGAGCUCAGCGAGCUCUCCUGGGCCUGUUUGGGGCGUAUGGGCUCCGGGAGCGUGAGGACCGGGAAGCUGGGAGGCUCCUUCCCUUCUGGUGGCUCCUUCACUGAGACCGGGCGGUUUGGUUGCGGGGGACGUGGAGGCGAGCCACCCUUGACCUUUGACUGCAAGGACUCACCUUGAGCAAUAUAGAGGCAAGUGGACGGUGACCCUCGGGGUGCAAUAAGUGCUGAGACAGAGCAGUUGUGCAAGGCACAGAGCUAGAGGCCUUUCUUCUCCAACCUUCAGUCACCUCUUUGUAAAGUGAAGCCAGCAUUCUCCUCGGAGUUUACUGUGAAAAUUAAGUGAGCUGACCCGUGCUGUGUUUUGAUGUUGCUUGGCUCCUACAAACAUUCAGUGGGCGAGACACUGUUCUGAAAAAUACAGUCGACUCUUGAACAACACAGGCUUGAACUGCAUGUAGCCACUACUACUCAGACUUUCUUCUGCCUUUGCCACCCCUAAGACAGCAAGACCAACCCCUCCUGCUCCUCAGCCUACUCGAUGUGAUGAUGUCUGGCUUCCUUUUCCCUUCAGUGGAAUAACAUAUACAAACUCUACCUAAGAGUGCUGUGUGAAGUACAUGCCAGCCUACAAGACAUGUCUCUAACCAAGUCGAAAGAGUGCAGUAUUCAUUCAUUCAUUCAUUCAACAAAUGUUUCUUAACAGGUAUUGUUUACCAAGCACUGUGUGUUAAGGACAAGAUGGUAUGAAACAAGCAGACCCAGGCCUCAGGGAAGAGAGGCUGUUACAUUCAGAGACAAUUACCAUACACUACAAUGAAUGCUUUGACAAAGGGAUGCAAAAAAAAAAAAAAAAAA